rnacentral:lncRNA from 1 species
AUUACACAUAAGCGUUCUAUAGUCGCAAUACAAACAAUAUUUUUAAUUAGAUACCGUCUAGAGAGAGAAUGCCAAAGAAAUUAGAGAGAGAAAUGUUUCAUAUAUUUUGGGAUUCUUAUUUUUAAUUGAUAGAAAUUAAAUUUUAAUAUUCUUAGGAUUUUUAUUUAUAUGUAGUAAUUUAAAUCAAGUAUAACUCUAUCCAUAUAUUAGGAGCACUGAAUUUUAAUAGGACCUCCAUUAUCUAAAAUGAAUCUAUUGGAUUUCGUUAAUUAAUACCAAUGCAUGAGACUCGGGAAAGAUGUUGGGCCAAACUUUCUAAUAAUCAAUAAUUUUCCACAUGACUGUUAAACUUACCUUGAAUGAAACACAAUAUCAAUCUUUGUCAAUAUAAAUCAGUAUAGAUAUAUAUAUCUGUCUAUGCAUUAUUGUUAGAGUUUGACGGGUUCAUAACACGAGCCUGGAAUAAUAUGUCUCUAAAAGAUUGCAACUCUUGAUAUUGCCUCAAAACCAUAAUUAAGGUUAAGCAUGUGGGCUAUCACCAAACUUAUUAACAACCUAAGUUGACGUGAUUAUGUCCCAGAUAAAUAAAUAAUACAAGUUCUAAAAUCUUCACCUUGCACUGACACUAAUAAAUAUUUAUAUUUUAAAUCUUUAAAAACGCAUUGUAGAAAGAUGUUUAAAACAAUUGAUACAGUUGAAUCCUCAAUUCAAUUAGUUGUACCCCUAGAGUCUACUUCUCCCUCGUACAAGUGAAAGAGAAGAUGUAAAAACUGUCAAAAUUGUCCAAGUGAGAUUUUCGGUAAAUGUGAGCCACACACAUAUUAAAUGCAAUAGGACUAAUUUAUGUGAGAGAAGAAGUAUUACUCCGGUCAAUAACCCUGAACCUUCAUGCAAGUUUCACAACUUGACUUUGUUAAAUUGCAACAUAAAUGUCCAUCCUUUUCUUGACGGGCCCUUGCUUUGGAAUAGCUUCAUCAAUUAUUUCAUGCGAGAUGGACCACUUGUUCAAUCAAUUUAUACCAAUUUUGUAAAAAAAUUUAACAAACGAAAAUUAUUCAAUGCGCUUGACAGGAGCGGAGCUAAAAUUCCUUCGAAAUGAGGGCCAAAUAUCUAGAAGCAUAUACGUAUGUUUUUCAUUUGAUAAUUAAAAUAUAUAAAUAAAUUGAAAUGAUUAAUAAUUUUCGAGACUCAAUUCGAUAUUCUGGAAAAGAUGUUGGGCCAAACUUUCUAAUAAUCAAUAAUUUUCCACAUGACUGUUAAACUUACCUUGAAUGAAACACAAUAUCAAUCUUUGUCAAUAUAAAUCAGUACAGAUAUAUAUCUCUGUCUACGCAUUAUUGUUAGAGUUUGACGGGUGGUACAGAUAUAUUUCUCUGUCUAUGCAUUUUGUUAGAGCUUGACGGGUUCAUAACACGAGCAUGGAAUAAUCUGCCACUAAAAGCUUGCAACUUUUGAUAUUACCUCAAAACCUUAAUUAAAGAUAAGGAUGUGGGCUAUCACCAAACUUACUAACUAUUUAAGGAUUAUGUCCCAGAUAAACAAAUAAUACAAGUUCUAAAAUUUUCAACUGACACUAAUAAAUAUUUUUAUUUUAAAUCUUUAAAAAGGCAUUGUAGAACAAUCUAUAAAACAAGUGAUACAAGUGAUUUCUCAACUCAAUUAGUUGUACCCUUAGAGUCCACUUCUCUUGAGCGAAAGAGAAAAUAAAAAGACUAUCAAACCCGAAAAAAUCUAAUAUUUGUCUAUGGUUUAUCCAAUGAUCUAAAAUUAUAAUAUUAAAUCAAAAAUAUUUUAGCUAUGAGUAAUAUUGAAUGAUCCACAUGAAAAGAAGCAAACCAAUCAACCAAAAAGAGCACAAGAUUUUUACCAUAGAAACCCUUGAAUGGGAGAAAAAUCACGUGUCCACUCUCUGAAUAAAGAUCAUGCACUAUAAUCCGAAAUUUAGACGGUUACAAGACUCUUACAAUCAAAACAUAUCAACUUCAUGAUCUAAUGAUUGUGUAAAUCUAGCUCGUAUCCACGAUUCACCGUCUCCGUGCUUGAUCACCAUUUAGAUCCCCUUAAAACGAAUUUCACACCUUAAACUCCUACAAGGAUUUUGAAUUUUUCAAUUUGGUUGAUGAAGAUCUUUGCUAAUAUUUGUUUCUGAGCUCUUCGGAAGGUAGAGAACACUUUUCUCUAGGUUAUAAUGCUAUAGGCGGCUCACCUCAGGUCUUGAGAAGUGUUUUGAGCCUUUUAUAGAGCCAAAAAUCCUAAAAAAUACAAUUUUUGACUUUGCAAAUUUUCGUGAGUACUGUUGAUCCCGCGAAGUACCUGUGAAUUCUGUGACAAUUUUCAAGCUCUCAGUUUCUUCUCGUGAGAUCUGUGAACUACCCGCGAAGUUCAUAAUUUUUUACUCCGAUAUCCGAUAGAACUGAUUUUUAGUGCGUUGGAAAGAAAACUUCAAGGAACACAACUUUGCCUCUAAUGAUCAUUGGCUGAAUCAAUCUCUAAGAUGGCA